AUUCCAGCUCCAAUAGCGUAUAUUAAAGUUGUUGCAGUUAAAAAGCUCGUAGUUGAAUUUCUGCUGCGGCGACCGCGUGAUGCUUUGCGUUGCGUGUGUCGCUUCAGCAUUUUCCCUUGCACUGCACUUAAUUGUGUGUGUGUUUGGGAAGCUUUACUUUGAGAAAAAUAGAGUGUUUCAAGCAGGCUGUGCCUUGAAUACUGCAGCAUGGAAUAAUGAUAUAGACCUACAUUCCUAUUUCGUUGGUUCUGAGGAAUGAGUGAUGAUUAAUAGGGAUAGUUGGGGGCAUUGUAUUCGACUGUCAGAGGUGAAAUUCUUAGAUUUGUCGAAGACAGACAACUGCGAAAGCAUUUGCCAAGGAUAUUCUCAUCA
rnacentral:rRNA from 1 species